rnacentral:tRNA from 1 species
GGAGAGGUGACCGAGUGGUUGAAGGUGCACGCCUGGAAAGCGUGUGUACGUUCACGCGUACCGAGGGUUCGAAUCCCUCCCUCUCCGCCA